AGGAAAUAUAAAUGCUUUGCUACAGAUGUUCUUUGAGCUACUUAGGAUUCCAGUCUUCCUAAACCCACCAACAUGGGAUGCACGGCAGAUUUGAUUUCCAAAGAGAGAAGAGAGACUAACAAAUACUGAGGCAACAGAUAUGUGAAUGGAGAAGCCGUCUUGGAAGGCAUCCUUCAGUCACAACUACUCCAGCUGAUACCAAAAGGAUCACAGAUAAACUACUCAGGCUCCCUCACUGGUGAUGUCAUGCCCAUGACUGGGCUAAUCCAACGGACCUUCAGCAGGGGGAAAAUGGAAGAGGAGGAGUCGUGCUUUCUUUGGUUUAACCUCCUGCUUAAAAUAUCACAGUACAUCAGAUCUUUCCUGCACUUAGUGACGAUGGACAGCACUUUGAGACCACCCCUGGGGCAAUUAAAAAAGUGAAGUAAUCAACAAAAAGCACAAAAAUGGAAGAACUGUGGCA